UUCAAACUACAGGAAAGGAGAUUCCACCUGAACAUCAGGAAGAACUUCCUCACUGUGAGGGCUGUUCGACAGUGGAACUCUCUCCCCCGGGCUGUGGUGGAGGCUCCUUCCUUGGAGGCUUUUAAGCAGAGGCUGGAUGGCCAUCUGUCGGGGGUGCUUUGAAUGCGAUUUCCUGCUUCUUGGCAGGGGGUUGGACUGGAUGGCCCAUGAGGUCUCUUCCAACUCUACUAUUCUAUGAUUCUAUGAUUCUAUGAUUAGGAUUCCCAGAAUCACUCAUUCACCCCCUAUUAACCCACCCCGACUAACCUAAACCCUUCCCUCCCCAUACCUUCCUUUAGCAAAACUAGAAUAUGUAAAUCUUUUAAAAUAUUCUUUAAUAAAAAUGAUUUUUUAAAAAAAUACCUACAUAUAAACGUCAGAUGCAAAUUCAUACAAUCGUGAGAAUGUCAACCAUACUUUGCUUACACUUAAUUUAAAAUUGCCCUAGUUGCACUUUCUGGUUUGUCUUUGUGUGUGCAAAUAGCAAGAAAAGGCCAACAUACCUGGGAACAAUCUGCUUAGAAAUGUCUCAUUCUUCAUCUCUAUGUCUUGCGGUUCCAAAUUAGGUGGCAACUGCAAAUAAUUUCUCCAAUAUUUCUGAUUCUGUCGGCACUUUCCUUCAUGGCUGCUUUAGUCAUUUCUCUUACCAGUUGUGUUCGUUCAAGCCAUUUCUAAAUUGUAGUGACCCUAAAACAAAUCUAUCAAAGGAUUUUUUUCCACAAAAUUAAUUAGCAGUUUAUUCUCGUAACUACAAGAAUAAUUGUAACUACAAGGAACAAUUUUGUUCCUACAAUUCUUAAACCAAACUCAGGUUUUUUUCCCUUUAAUGAAAAUUUCCAUUGAUUGUUGUAUGCAUUGCUGUGAUGUGUGCUGUUGCUGGCAUAGCAUGCGCAACUUGCCUGUUUUUGUUGUAAUUAAGCUGCUUCUUUUUUCUGCCUCAUCCCUCUUGAUUUUAAUUGUUUUAAUUUCAUUACAUUCCUUUUAUGUCAUUCUGUUCCCACACAGGCCUCCAAAGGGGAAAAAGAGCAACAAUAGAGUGGGCGCAGGAGAGAAAAACAACAGUACUCCUGCUACUCUUCCCUUAACCAAGUUCCCUUCUAUGAUACCACAUGAAACACCUAUGACAAGGUAUGAAAGGCAUAUAUACCGAAAUGCAGAAGCCAGCAUGGUCAUAACAAGCAGAGUUCUGGAGGAGCAUCUCUUGCACAUUCAUCCAGAAAACCCUCACAAGCUUCUUGCAAUACUUCAAAGUGUGGCAAAGCUCCAGUCGCUAUAGACUCAAGGAAGGUCAUCACACAACAGUCUGUGUCAUGCUCUGAAAGCUCUGAAAAAAAUCACACAGGUGUUAAAAUGACUUCUUCAAAAUUUCAUCCAGCACAACCGACAAUGACAGUUCAAAAUGUAAAGGUCUAAAGGAAAAUCUUGCAGAAAAAAUGAGGCAGCGAUGGGCAAACCUAUCAACUCUCAGAAGCUAAACUUUUCUCUUUUUUUCCAAAGCGUUCUCAUCUCAGCGAUCAGUGAUCUAUUGAAUUAAAUUCUUAACCAAUUAUUAGUAUCAUUUAAGCAAACAGACUGAGCAAAAGUAAUUUGGAAAGCUCUUUAUUAUUUGUAUUAUAUGAAAGUAUUGGAUUGUCUUUUUUAAAACUUCAUGUAAGACUUUACAGUUUCGUAAUAAAAAUUAUUAUUGUGUCCAUAUCCAGGUAAAGUAAUCAUAAAUGCUGUGUUUUUCAUUUUUUUUAAAUGCAGUGCCCAGAACUGAACACAGUAUUCCAUGUGUGAUCUG